GACGAACGCUGGCGGCGUGCUUAACACAUGCAAGUCGAACGGAAAGGCCCUGCUUGCAGGGUACUCGAGUGGCGAACGGGUGAGUAACACGUGGGUGAUCUGCCCUGCACUUCGGGAUAAGCUUGGGAAACUGGGUCUAAUACCGGAUAGGACCGCACUUUAGUGUGUGUGGUGGAAAGUUUUUUCGGUGUAGGAUGAGCUCGCGGCCUAUCAGCUUGUUGGCGGGGUAAUGGCCUACCAAGGCGGCGACGGGUAGCCGGCCUGAGAGGGUGUACGGCCACAUUGGGACUGAGAUACGGCCCAGACUCCUACGGGAGGCAGCAGUGGGGAAUAUUGCACAAUGGGCGCAAGCCUGAUGCAGCGACGCCGCGUGGGGGAUGAAGGCCUUCGGGUUGUAAACUCCUUUCGCUAGGGACGAAGCUUUGUUGUGACGGUACCUAGAUAAGAAGCACCGGCUAACUACGUG
rnacentral:rRNA from 1 species